AACUGUGAGGGUGAGCACUCAGGGUUUAAUAUUUCUCACUGUAUUUUAUAUAACAUAGUAACAUGGGUGAAUUUCUCUUCAGUUCGUCGGCAGAAACCCAAAGCUGAAGAUGCAGAGAGUGAAGACCGUUCUGACGCAAGCGAAGAUGUAGAUCAGGCAAGAGAGGCAUUACAAGCAUCUUCCGUAUACAUAAAUAAGCCAUCUAACCAUGAACCACUGGAGCGCCCAACCUCUCCUAUAGAGGACGAACAAGAGGAGAAAGCUGAUGAGAUUCCCUGGGAGGAACGCUAUGAGAAAAUCUGGGUGGAUAAUGAAAAAAAGGAUACCAAGUCCCAAUAUAAAAACGUGGCUGCUGAACUAAAAGAGAGGUUUGGAGAACUGGAGCACAAGGAACCACCAAGUAGGCUUUCGGAGCAGGAGUGGACAGAAGAUGAACAAUAUGAUGAGGUGGAAAAGGAAGCAGAUGAUGAAGAUUCCAGUGAGGAAGAUGGAGAGCUAAUAGUGCGACCCACCGCGCGGGCGAGAAGUGCCAUACUUUUGCCCAUCCCAGAGCAGAGAGAGUCAGGCCUGGAGGACUCACAGUCUGAAAGUGUCCACCGCACAAUUAGUGUUGAGGUCAGUGAUGCAGAGCUUCCCAGUGACCACCACAACCCCCAAAUCAUCCCAGAAGUCCUAACAGAUGAGGACCAGGAGCCAGAGAAACGAGCGGAUGACAUUGAGGAACCUGAUAGUGGAAGCAAAGAAAAGUGUCCACUAGAUUCUGGAAGCAACAUAGAUGAAGAACCUGAACUUCACAGACCUUCAUUGCAUGUUGAGAAUGAGCUACAAAUCCCACAUAAAUUUCUAGAAGCGACCCCUUCUGACUCCGAUGAGGUUGGCGAGGGCUUGUGGAAGUCCAGACUUGAGGUAGGACCCUGGGAGGAGUCUCAGACAAACUUAUAUAACCAAUGAAGACUUUCAAUUUUGCCUCUGUCUUCUUGUUCUUCAUUCACAUAAACUCAAAAUGUGAGGGAAAAGCUCCAGCUUCAAAAACAAAACCAUCUGUCGUCUUGUAAUGCUGCCCAGACGCUGACGGGCCAAAUUACACAGCUGCUCCCUAUCUCUGGUUGUGCUAAUCAUUAGCUCUGUUCCAAAACUAGUGAGCUGCCUAGCUGGACAUGACAUGCUUCUGAAUAUGUUGCCUUGUUUUGUCCAAAAACAUGUUUUUAAAACUUUUUAUAAGCUCCUUACCUGUACAUUUUGUGCUCAUGUUGCAGUGCUUUGCAGCUAAUUUAGCGCAUUUACAUAGAAAAACAAUUAUUGUAAUUCUGAAUUUGCAAAUAUUUGCAUUUUAUACAGUAUUGAAAGUGUUGAAAAAGGCCUUAAUCUAAAUAAGCACAUUUCAAAUUUGUAUGUGUCGUGGAGCAAGCAGUGGUCUUCUCAGUGAUCAAAGUGUCAAAAUAAGACUUUAUUGUACAAAGCAACAAAGCUGAGAUGACAGUCACCGCAUCUGGGUCUUUGUCUGUCUGGGCAGCCAUACUUAUACCUUGUCGUUUUUAACCAAAAAUUGGUAAUCUGGUUUCUUAUUGGUUUCGCUUGUCUGGUUUGCCACAAUUAAUUAAUACUCCUCCUGACUUCUUUUGUAAUUGUGGAAUCUGGCCAGAUGGGCCAUUUUUUAAAUUACUUUUAUUUUGCUGUCUUCUUUGGGUUGGCACAAUAAAGAGAUGUUCCUACGUCUCCCAUGUGCUUAAUUUUGCAGGUUUCUGCCAGUAUAAAAUCUUUCAAAUCAGGAAUUUAUGAUGUUCUAUGAUGGUUGUCAUGGUACCUUAGAAGGCAGCUGCCUAUGUAGGCAGUCGUCAGUGUGGCAGCACACUAGUUUAUGAAAGAGCUAUUAUCUUGUCAAAAUUUUUUGUACUACCGAUUCAAUUCCAAAGUGUUUUCAAAACAUUUACAUUCUUCAUGCAUGUUAAGACCCCAUGAAACCAGUAUUAUUUUAGUAUUAUUCGUAUACUAUAACAGUAUUUUUUAAUAUUUUGAAUGAGCUUUUAUUUUUAUAUUUUUAGUUUAUAAUUCAACCGUAGUUUUGUUAUGUUGUUUUGUUAUGUUUACCUCAACUUUUCAUUUCAAAUUCAAUUCAAAUUUUCAUUUCCAUAUUUUCAAGAUUUUUAUUUUAUUUUAUUUACUGAAAAUGAUUUUUACUAGUUUUAGUUCAUUCUAUUGUAACAGCCAUCCUUUAUUAUUUAUAUCAUAGCCUGGAAAAACCAUUCAUAAUGAGCUUGUGCUUAUUGUGCAACAAUAAUUGUUUUAGACAGUAGUAUGCUUCUUGCCUCUUGCCCCUCAAACUGAUCAAUUACUGCUUUGACUUUUAAGAGGAUUUAAAAAGACAUGGGCUCCAAAGCUCCCAGUUUGAUUUCAUGGGGUCUUCAGUUGUCCUGUCUUGUUCUGUACAUGUUUUAAUAUGUGUGACCUGACCAGCACUUGUCUUGAAUCCAGUCUGUCACUUUAUUAAAUAUUUAUCAGUUAAUUUUAUUCAGUGGUGUCAAAUGCUUCACUUGAGGCCAGGUCAGUUCACACCUCAUCUGUCGUGUGCAUGUGUGCCAAGGAUCUCUUCCAUUAGCUGUCUGAAGAUCUCUCCUCAUCUUCCUGAAGAUCUGUCAUACUAGUGUUAAUGUGUGUUUUCAUGAUGCGUCUCAAUGGAGGAGUUUCCAACAAUCAUUUUUAACCUGGAACUUCUCUGUUGAUGCUGGCUUGAAGUGUGUUUUAUUUUGCUAGUGCUUCUUUUUAAAUAAGAAAAGAAGACAUGUAUUAUGUGGUGUUUUGUUUCCGUUUUGUCUUGUAUGUGUCUGUACAUGAAUGUUUUGCAUGAUCAGUUGACUAAAUCAUUACAUUCUUAAACAUUUUCCAGAAACAGUUUUAAAUACAGAAUUUAAUUUUGCUCUUAGAGUAAUGCUUAAGUGCAUAUGUUUUUAACUCUCUCAACAAAUAAUAUCUUCUUUUUUUAGGGUGGUAAGGAACAGGCGGAUGGCAUGAGGGGAGAACACCAGCCCGGUGUUUUAUGGGAUACUAGAGGAACCAGAGAACGAGGUGAACUUGACCAAGGAAAAGGGAAGAAAACUGACACCAACUCUGGGAACCCAAAACCUAAACAGGACGGGAUGGCUGACAGCAGGUCUUUGGGAAGAGAGGGUAGUGUUUCGCCAAGACAUCUGACAAGAAGUCAGAGAAGGUACAUAUGUCACAUUACUAGAUGGAAUUAAUGUGAAGGGAGAUGUUUUUGUAAUGCAAUCAUGUAGAAGAACUUACUGAAAAAAUUACUGAGGACACCUUGAAGUAAAGAGCUUUCAGCAAACAGCCAUGGCUUAGAGAUCAAAACACGUUUUUACAAAUUUAUUUUCUUUCUAUUUCUAAAGUAUAUGCAUGCAUAAUAAAAAUAUAUAUAAUCAUGGAAUGCAAGUAUUGUGUUUUUUUUUAUUUUGUCAGUUACGUUUCAUGCUAAUAGAAUACAACAAUAUUGCCAUCAGGCUUUUGCUGAAGCUUUGAAUUUGCUUCUGGUGUCAUCCUUGCCAUUUUAUUUCUGGGUGUUUCCGUGGUGGAGGGCAUUCAGUUGCCAAUUUUUUGUUCAAACUUCUUGAUGAGAUCUGUGCACCUCCAGUACUGACAGGGCACCACCACAUGGUGAGGAAGAUGAGGAGGAGGAAAAGAAAACUGUAGGUAGCCAAGCCAGAAAUCUCUGUGUAGCUCCCCCUCUGCAGGGCAAACCCUCCCGACCUGCGACCCGCCAUAACGGAGACCUCGAGUCUGUCUUUGAUGAUAGUACUUUAAGUGAGCUGUCGGAAGAGGACAGGAGGUAUACAUGCAGUAUUUACAUGCUUUUAAAUAUAAUGAAUUAUUUACAGCUCAAUUUUAUACGUUGCAGUGUUGCAGCAGCAAUAUUUUAAGUAUAACCUGGCCUGCACAGAAUCUGUGCCCGCAGAACUCUACCAAAUUUGAACACCUGUAAAAUUUACACCUGCAAUGCUUACACCAACAAUCAGUGCAGAAUAAAUUAAAACAAAAAAAAGUGGGCAGAUUCCUUAUGGGCCUUGUUAUAACGUGUAUUUUUUCUUUUUUAAGGGAAUACUGCAUUAUAUCCUCAUUUUAGAGCACCAAACUUGCUCUCCGGUAGACUGGUGUUGUCAGAUAAAGCUUAAACCAUGUUUACUCUGUUCUGACAGGUCCCCGUCUUUAAGGCCUAAGAAAGAACAGGUGAGCUUUUGUCCUGAUAAGGUAAAUCUCUAAAUAUGAGUGUUUGUUUAAUGUUUUAAGACCACAGGUUACCAAACUGUGCUCUGGCUUUUGAGAAUAUGAAGUUGUUACAGUUUAACACAGGAUACUCAAUGUUAGGGGUCAACCUAUUAUCGGCGCCGAUAUUAAGCAGUUUUAUGGUUAUUGGUUUCACAACAAAUUUGCCGAUAAAAUAAUUUUAAAGCAUUUAAAGAAAGUUUUUGUCAGAGCCCUUGUUGUUCUUAAUUUUGAAAUUUUAAAUUUUUACACCAGACAUAUAUAUCUGUUCAAAAUAUCGGUUUAAUAAUCAGUAUCUGAAAAACACAUAUCCGUCGAUCCCUACUCGGUGUCAUACAUGUGUUGUAUUGACUUUAAUGUCUCCUACGCAGAGCACUGGAGAGCUAGAAACAGCGGAUGAUUUUGAAGAUCUCACUCAGUCUUCUGACACAGCCACUGAGGAGCUGGAGACUCCAGUAUCUGGAUACCGCAAUGCUUCUCUUCUCUUCAAACAACUCGACUCAAGCUAUCUGGGUGAGUCGGUCAGCUCCAGUCAGCUGAAAGCAAACAGUUAAGUUCAGAUGUUCAGAAAAUGAAGAUGUGCACCUGUUUCUUAUGUCUGUCCUGCAGACUCUGUGAGUGUGGUGAAACUACAGAACAUGUUUCAUGAAUACGAACGCACCAUCCAGAGGGAGAGAGACAGACACAGACGUCUGGCGGAUAAAAUCUCUCAGCUGGAGCAGGAACGCAACGAGCUCAAGAUCCUGCUGGAUGAUAUCAGAGGCAGCAAGUCCAGCCUAGAACAUCUCAAACUGGAGCUGGAAACAGAUAUGAACAAUCUCAAGUGAGCUCAACUCAGUGCAUGUGAAAGGAGGUCUGCAGCUCACCGGGGUUUGUGACGUUGACUCUCUCUUCUCUCUCUCCCCUCAUGGAAGGUUCCUUUUGAGACAGGAACAGGAAAAGCAUCAGAGCGCUCUCAUGCUGUAUAAUAAAACCCGUGAGCAGCUUCAGAGGAAAGAGGACCAGCAGCGAGCCGAGGCCGAGGAGCAUCACAAAGCUGAGCUGAAAGUCCGCAGUCUGGAACUGGAGAUCAGAGCCCUGAAGAACAGCAUCAGACAGGUCAAAAGCAGCAGACUGUUAGAUUUAGCUGGUAAAACCAGCCCAUAACACAGUUUGCUGAACAGUGUGUGCGCUUGUGUGUUUAGAUUGAAGAGGACAGAGAUGAGUCUCAGCGUCUCCUGUCUCAUGAGCGCAGUGCUCGUGCCCUACAGGAGGAGUUACUGAACAACCACCUGCGUAAGCAGCAGGACAUUGAGCAGGAGAACCUCCGAAACCUCAAUAAGAGCAAUGAGGUACUGCUGUCACCUUCUCAAACACCAACUAUAUAUGUGUUUGUCUGGGAAUAUAGUCACAUAUGCAGUGAUGUCACAGUUUUAUGGCCACACAUGCAC
ensembl:lncRNA